AAAGUCGUAACAAGGUCUCCGUUGGUGAACCAGCGGAGGGAUCAUUACCGAGUUUUCAACUCCCAAACCCCAUGUGAACUUACCACACCGUUGCUUCGGCGCGCGGCUCGCCGCCGCCGAGGACGUUAAACUCUGUCUUGUAUAAGCAUUUCUGAGUGGCCGAAAGGCAAAAAACAAAUGAAUCAAAACUUUCAACAACGGAUCUCUUGGUUCUG
rnacentral:misc_RNA from 1 species